rfam:Salmo salar isolate Sally breed double haploid chromosome ssa16, whole genome shotgun sequence.
ACUCACUACAACUGUAAGUUGCUCUGGAUAAGAGUGUCUGCUAAAUGACUAAAA